UAUAAGCGCGGCCAUGAAUUUAUGAGUCCAAUUUUAAUUAUCCGUCUUAUUUGAAAUUUUUUUCAUGAUUAGUAUUUUUGUUGUUAUUAGAUGAUAAAACAUGACUACUUUAUGCGUGACUUAUUAUUUUGGUUAUUUUCAAAAAGUUUUCAAAUAAGACAGACGAUCAAAAUUGGACACGUAAAUUCAUUACUACGCUUAUA
rfam:Oryza sativa Japonica Group DNA, chromosome 4, cultivar: Nipponbare, complete sequence.